rnacentral:sRNA from 1 species
AAUAUGAAGUCAGUUCCGGUUGGUGUAAAACCCCCGGGGCGGCGGUGAACUGGCUUCAGAUGCUUCUGGGUCGCGGUGUGCUGAGCUAGGAGUCCGAGUGUGUGAGCUUGAGAGCCGCGCGCUAGGGCGACCCGGCGAGGGAUGGCGGCCACCGGGACCGCGGCUGCCGCAGCCACGGGCAGGCUCCUGCUUCUGCUGCUGGUGGGGCUCACGGCGCCUGCCUCGGCGCUGGCCGGCUACAUCGAGUAGAGACAGGGUUUCACCGUGUUAGCCAGGAUGGUCUCGAUCUCCUGACCUCGUGAUCCGCCUGCCUCGGCCUCCCAAAGUGCUGGGAUUAUAGGCGUGAGCCACCAUGCCCGGCCCUGGUGUGUUUAGAAUAAUACACUUUUCAGGCUCUUGCAGCCAAUGCCGGAACAGGAUUUGCUGUUGCUGAGCCUCAAAUCGCAAUGUUUUGUGGGAAGUUAAAUAUGCAUGUGAACAUUCAGACCGGGAAAUGGGAACCUGAUCCAACAGGCACCAAGAGCUGCUUUGAAACAAAAGAAGAAGUUCUUCAGUACUGUCAGGAGAUGUAUCCAGAGCUACAGAUCACAAAUGUGAUGGAGGCAAACCAGCGGGUCAGUAUUGACAAUUGGUGCCGGAGGGACAAAAAGCAAUGCAAGAGUCGCU